CGAAAAUGGGUUAGCAGCAGCUAUUCAAGUCACUCACACUUCCAAUGAGAAGUCUGUGAUUUAUGGCUCCUCAGUUUUUAAUCAGAGAAUUGAAAGGCAAUGGGGUUGGUUAAGGCAAAGCAAGUCAGACUUUUGGAUCAAUCAUUUCAAAUGCCUUCAAGCAGAUGGCUUAUUGAAUGUUAACAGUCAAAUCCACAAAAUAUGCCUGCAGUUUGUAUAUUUGCCGAUAAUUCAACAAGAUUUAGCAGACCUUAUAGUUCUUUGGAACAGCCAUAAUAUAAGAAAACAAAAUCAGGGAGAUAUAUUGUCAGGCAUACCUGAUGUUCUAUAUCAUUAUCCUGAAGUUU